GAUGAAGAACGCAGCGAAAUGCGAUACGUAAUGUGAAUUGCAGAAUUCAGUGAAUCAUCGAAUCUUUGAACGCACAUUGCGCCUGCCAGCACUCUGGCAGGCAUGCCUGUUCGAGCAUCAUUUCAACCAUCAAGCCCUAGGCUUGCGUUGGAGCCCUGCGGCUGCCGCAGGCCCCUAAAAGCAGUGGCGGGCUCGCUAUCACACCGAGUGCAGUAGAUUACUCUUCGCUCAGGGCGUGUGGCGGGUUCCAGCCGUGAAACCCCCUACUUCUCAAGGUUGACCUCGGAUCAGGUAGGAAUACCCGCUGAACUUAAGCAUAUCAAUAAGCGGAGGA
rnacentral:misc_RNA from 1 species